ACCCUGGAUAUGGAGAGAACAGGUGGCUUUCUCCAGGCCAAUGGUUGGAAGCCACCAGAGCUCUGUCCUCAUCCAGGUCUC
ensembl:miRNA